ACUGUUGAAGGCUCUGCAAAUAAAAGU
rnacentral:piRNA from 1 species